ACUUUCUCAGAUUAUGGCCAGCAAUAUUGUUAUGUUUAAGGACAUUAUGGAAUUAAGAUAUAUCAGUACUAUGUUAUGAUUGUACUGUAUAAUUAAAUACAAUCGUUGCUGAGUCUGCAGUCUGAACACUUUACCUCAGAGCGUCCGUAAACUGAAUGAAUUUAGGAUAUCACCUGAAAAUCCAAUAUCAACCAAUUUUCAUGAAAGUAGCUCAUUUCUGUAAAUGAAUGUAAAAUUUAAUGUACAUUACAGCACAUGGUGAAGUCUGUAUAUACAUUAACGACGAAUUUGAGACAAAUAAGUGUAAAUUUAAAACUAUGUACAUGGCGCUCGGCGCCGCAGACAGACGCAAAAUGGCGCCGCCGGUACACACACAUACUGUACCCUGUCUCUUCGUUCCCUAGCUCCCGAGGUCGUGAAUCAGUUUAUCAUGUACACAGGUUCGGGCACUGGUCUGUUUAAAUGGACAGCUUUGUCACUGAUAAGCUAACUGAGUGGCGGCUGUUUGAGCUGACAGAGACAUUUUUGAGGCCAUCUACAGGGUUGAGAAGAAGACUAUCCGGCAUUCCACUGAAGAGUCCCUGACAGCGUUCAUACACCAAAUGUCUGUUGGAACAAAUAUGGUGGAAUACAGUGGCGGCUCGUGACUGCUCAUCAGAGGAUGCGCUAAUUCAAAAUAAGUGUUCAGAUUGUCACGUGUGUGGUUCCCUUUUCCAAAAUAUGUGUCCUGCGUGUCGAGAGAUCCUGUGUGCAUCACGUGUUUUGUCAAAAUAAGUGCCUGCUGCACACGCGUCAAAACCGUUUAUGAUAAAAGAGACGCUCAUGUUUCUAAAAUACACGCCAGACACUUCCUUAACAGUAAACUCUUACUACGCAUGAGAUUAUGCGAGUAUCUGGCAAACGCGAGCAUCCGUUUUAUCAUAAACCCUUUAAACGCGUCUGCAGCAGGAACUUAUUUUGACAUGACACGUGAUGCACACAGGAUCUCUCGAUGGGGAGAACACAUAUUUUAAAAUUACAAACCACACACAUGACAAGCUACAUACAUGUUGUGACGAACUUUGCAUCGAGCAUCCUCGAAUAAAGAGGUCAACCGGCCAGCACUGGUGGAAUACCUUCAGCAAUCCCAGCCGUUCCCCUCUGGGAGAUCUCAAGCUGCACACAACCAAUGUUUGAAGACUUAAAGCCUCAAGUUCAAUCCAAUUAUUGAAUGUUGUCAAAUGUUUGAGAGUUGUUUAUUAUUCUAUUUUUCCUUUCUAAUGUUAUUACAGUGUGACCUAAAAUAAAUAGGUCCAAGUGUGCAUUUUUAUAUAGAAUUUAAUUGAAUCCAAUAAAAAUUUAAAACUG